AUUUGGCCUCAAAUGAUUUGGCCCCUAUCUGAAACAGAAUGUGCACUUGCAUGUAGAAAAUAUAUUGGAAUGCAGAAAAUAUUGUUAUACUUUAAUCUGAACACAAAAAUUUCCCUGAAACAAUUAACAUACAUUGAGCCAUACAGUCAUGCACAUAGUUUUGACUGUCAGAUGUAUCAAGAAGCAUAGUGAGUUGCAUUCAUGGCCAAAGACAUAUUAGGUUAAUUAUUUUACAUAAUUAUUUUUCUUCAUUUGCCACGGCAUCUAAUCGGUGAAGGAUUCAGGAUUAUCCAGCAUGGAAAUAACGUUUUAAACGUGCUAUAUACAGUAAAAUGGUGUUCAAUAUUCAUACUACAUGAUAGGCAUAUGGCCAAACAAACACCUUGUGCUUUUUUGCUCAAAUUUACGCACGCAUGAUUUUGUAUACAUAAUACAGAUUUAAAUCUAGCAAUUCAAAUCCAAAACUCAUGGCGUCAUACAUGACAUCUAUCUAUAAUUUAUAUUUUCUUGAAAUGUUAGGUGAUUCAUUGUUAUUGCCGUUGUUGUAACCCAGUAAACAGACACACACCGCCGUUUAGACAUGUCACAUGUCGUUCUUGUUCCUUUUAAUCACAGUUAAUAGAAUAUUCUAUUAACUGUGUUUUAAUAUACAACAUACCAUGGACGAUAAAGCUUCGAAUUACUUCUCUUUAAUUUCCAGUCCGGCUUUGUCCAGUCUUUGAAGAGACUUCACAAGCGCGUGUUGAAACAGGUCAUCUGUACAAGAACCCAUGAAUCCAUGAUGUUUCGAAUCACAGCAACCACUUCGAGCACAUUUCGACUCGAUCAUGUUUACAUCAUACAUGAAAAUUGAUACAUAUGUAAUACGAAACCGAAAUAUGGUUGUAUUUUGACGAAUAUUAACGAUAUAACGAAAUAUAAAACCCCAAUAUGUAUAAUUCCAUUAGGUGAUCUGCACAUAUUCCCUUGAUGGUGGAAAAUACAUCGAAACAAAAGAAAAAUCCAAUAUUUUCUGCUCAUCAACACGUCUCCACUCCUCAGUAAAAAUUAG